rnacentral:rRNA from 1 species
CCAUCAAGACUGAUGCGGCGCCGCUCACAUGCAGUCGAGCGGUAGAGAGAAGCUUGCUUCUCUUGAGAGCGGCGGACGGGUGAGUAAUGCCUAGGAAUCUGCCUGGUAGUGGGGGAUAACGUUCGGAAACGGACGCUAAUACCGCAUACGUCCUACGGGAGAAAGCAGGGGACCUUCGGGCCUUGCGCUAUCAGAUGAGCCUAGGUCGGAUUAGCUAGUUGGUGAGGUAAUGGCUCACCAAGGCGACGAUCCGUAACUGGUCUGAGAGGAUGAUCAGUCACACUGGAACUGAGACACGGUCCAGACUCCUACGGGAGGCAGCAGUGGGGAAUAUUGGACAAUGGGCGAAAGCCUGAUCCAGCCAUGCCGCGUGUGUGAAGAAGGUCUUCGGAUUGUAAAGCACUUUAAGUUGGGAGGAAGGGUUGUAGAUUAAUACUCUGCAAUUUUGACGUUACCGACAGAAUAAGCACCGGCUAACUCUGUGCCAGCAGCCGCGGUAAUACAGAGGGUGCAAGCGUUAAUCGGAAUUACUGGGCGUAAAGCGCGCGUAGGUGGUUUGUUAAGUUGGAUGUGAAAUCCCCGGGCUCAACCUGGGAACUGCAUUCAAAACUGACUGACUAGAGUAUGGUAGAGGGUGGUGGAAUUUCCUGUGUAGCGGUGAAAUGCGUAGAUAUAGGAAGGAACACCAGUGGCGAAGGCGACCACCUGGACUAAUACUGACACUGAGGUGCGAAAGCGUGGGGAGCAAACAGGAUUAGAUACCCUGGUAGUCCACGCCGUAAACGAUGUCAACUAGCCGUUGGAAGCCUUGAGCUUUUAGUGGCGCAGCUAACGCAUUAAGUUGACUGCCUGGGGAGUACGGCCGCAAGGUUAAAUCUCACAGAAAAUUUUAACGGAC